AGAAAAGUAAUUAAAAGGGAAUAGUCCACCAUGAGAGACAAACGGAAUGUGGUUAGUCACAUUCUUUGUUGUGGUUAGAGUUAAGUAGGUGCAGGUGAAGUAUAUGUAUAUGUAGUUCACUGGCUUGAGAUAGAAUGCCAUAUUUACAUUAAUGGUGUCACUUGUGUGGAGGCACCAUGAUAGACAACUGGUAGUUUAGCAAUAGUCUCGCGGUGCCAGAGUUUAGCAUGGCCCGCCAGACCAUAGAUAGGGGAUGGGACUGAAGGAAUUGGAAACUCUCCGUUUGUAGUAAAACUGAUUUUGCUUUAGCACAUUAGCACCUAAGGUGUGAGCUGUAGGUGGAGCAAAAUUGUUGUGGAGAUAACUCUACCCACCAAGAAGUUGUGACUUUACUGGUCUUGCUAGCCAAACUCUAAUUUACCAAGUAAGAGUCUGGUGCCAUGCCUAAUAUCAACUUAUUUUUGUGUGGACAUCAAAUACAUUUAAGCCACACAUUUGCUGGUGAUGGUUAGAGUUGUGAGAGUAAAAUUGUGGCUGCUGCUCUAGCUAAGCAAGUUGAUGCUGUUAUUUUCAAACUUGGCUUCCAGCUUCAUGACAAAUAGAAGGAGGCCUUCCUUAGCUAUAUAACUGACAAAGAUACUUUUGUAGCUUUGCUAACUGGCUAUUGCAAGAGUCUUAUUCAUUGCUGCUUGCCUCUAGUGUAUGACUCUAUCAGAGUCUUGCCCCAAGGUAAAAGCAUAGCUUUGGUUGGUCUGCCUAAACACUGAUAAUGGAUCAGACUGAGAGAUUCAGACAACGGGGUGCUGUUGCUGCGUUUGCUAGGGAGCCUCAGAUCUCAUUGGAAAGGUGUGCAAAUGGUGAAUUUCAGUUGAUCUUCAUUAGCCCAGAGUGUCUAAAGAAAGGAAGAAUGUGGAGGAACGUGCUUAAGUCUGACCUUUACCAAGAGCAAUCAGUGGCCUUUAUUGUUGAUGAAGGACAUUUGAUAAAGAACUUGUAAAUAGAUUAUAAGUUAGUAGACAGUGUAAUUGUCAUUAUGCAUCAUGCACUGACUGCUAUGUUGUAUAGUGGAGAGGAAUACAGACCUGAAUUCUCAAAACUAGGAUACUCAUUGCAACCGUUGCUUUUGGCCUAGGUAUUGAUUGCUCUGAUAUUAGGUGCGUGAUACAUUUUGGUGUGCCAGAAGAUGUAGAGAUGUACGUGCAACAAGUAGGAAGAGCUGGAUAAGAUGAAAGCAGUCAUAAUGUGUAAUGCUAUAUCAAACAGGAGUGUAAAGAAGAUUCUGCAAUGAAAAAAUUAUAGCAUAUUGCAAGUUACAGAAAAAAUGUUGUAGGAAGUUAUUAUAUUCUAUGUUUUUCUGAUAUAUAUGCAUACCUAAUGAUAGUAUUAUAGGCUUUUGCUUGUGUUGUGAUGUUGGUUUUUGAGUUUGUACAUGUCUUAAAUGAAAAUCCAUAUAAUAAUUUAUUAGUA